rnacentral:misc_RNA from 1 species
AAAUAAGAUGUCAGCUAUUUCAACAUAUGAGAUAGGUGAAUCAAGUUUUCGAAAGGAUUCAAAUUUUGAAUAUCAAAACCCACAUGAUAUUUUUACUACCUCAAUCUACAAAAAUGGUGAAGAAUUUUUCACAAAAACACAAAAUUUGUCAAUCUACGACAAAUGUGAAGAAAAUUUCUUAAUCAUUCAAAAGCCGAAUGUUAUACAAAAUGUUUCAUUAUUUGAUAAAUUUUCUCUUGUUUCAAAAUCAUUAAAC